AAGCCCCCCUCAAGAUGAGAUUUCCCAGUAUGUAAGACCCCUUGAAGACGACGAGGUAGAUAGGCUGGGGGUGGAAGUGCAGCAAUGCAUGGAGCUGACCAGUACUAAUCGGUCGAGGGCUUAUCCA
rnacentral:rRNA from 1 species